rnacentral:lncRNA from 1 species
UGCCCUAGAGAUCUAUGGAACUUUAAACUUGAGACAGAUGAUUUAGGGUAUCUGGCGGAAGAAGUUUCUAAGCUGCAAAGUGUUCAAGAUGCGACUUGGAUGCUCUUAAAAGCAUCAAGUUUUAUGUAUUCACAAAGAUAUGGUUUGGAAUUGGAACUUACGUUUAAAAGGAAAGCAGAGCAUAAAAGUUCAGAAAAUUUGCAGCCUAACAAUGUGACAGAAAACAAAAACGUAUUUUCUGAGGAGAAAUUCAAACUGGCUGCAGAAAUUUGCAUAAGUAAUGAGGAGCUAAAUGUUAAUCACCAAGACAAUGGGGAAAAUGUCUUCAGGGCAUGUCAGAGCUCUUCAUGGCAGUGCCUCCCAUCACAGGCCCAAGGGCCUAGGAGGAAAACAUGGCUUUAUGGGCUGGUCCCAGGGCUUUGCUGCUUUGUGCAGUCUCAGGACUUGGUGCCCUGCAUCACAGCCGUGGCUAAAAGGGGCCAACAUACAGCUCAGGCCAUUGCUUCAGAGGGUGGAAACCCCAAGCCUUGGCAGCUUACACAUGGUGUUGGGCCUGCAGAUGCACAGAAGUCAAGAAUUGAGGUUUGGGAGCCUCCACCUUUAUUUCAAGGAUGUAUGGAAACACCUGAAUGUCCAGGCAGAAGUUUGCUGCAGGAGUGGGGCCCUCAUGAAGAACCCCUACUAGGACAGUGCAGAAGGAAAAUGUGGGUUUGGAGCCCCUUUCUGGAAAAGCUGCAGACACUCUGUUCUAGCCCGUGAAAACAGCUGGGUGGGAGGCUGUACCCUGCAAAGCCACAGGGGUGGAGCUAUGCAAGUUCAUGGGAACCUGCCUCUAAUGAGCAUGACUGGGAUGUGAGACAUGGAGUCAAAGGAGAUGAUUUUUGGAGCUUUAAGAUUUGGCUGCCCCACUGGAUUUUGGACUCUUCUGGGACCUGUAGCCCCUUUGUUUUGGCCAAUUUCUUCCAUUUGAAAUGGGUAUUUACCCAAUGUCUAUACUCCCAUUGGGUCUGGGAAGUAACUAACUUGCUUUUGAUUUUACAGUCUCAUAGGUCAAAGGGACUUGGCUUGUCUCAGAUGAGACUUUGGACUUGAACUUUUGGGUUAAUGCUGGAAUGAGUUAAGACUUUGGGGGACUGUUGGAAAAGCAUGAUUGUGUUUUGAAAUGUGAAGACAUGAGAUUUGGGAGGAGCCGGGGCAGAAUAAUUUGGUUUGGCUAUGUCUCCACCCAAAUCUCAUCUUAAAUUGUAAUCCUCAUAAUCCCCAUGUGUCUAGGGAGAGACCUGGUGGGAGGUGAUUGGAUCAUGGGGGUGGUUGCCCCCAUGCUGUUUGAUUGGUUUGG